CAGCAGCCGCGAUAAUACGUAGGGUGCAAGCGUUAAUCGGAAUUACUGGGCGUAAAGCGUGCGCAGGCGGUUAUAUAAGACAGAUGUGAAAUCCCCGGGCUCAACCUGGGAACUGCAUUUGUGACUGUAUAGCUAGAGUACGGCAGAGGGGGAUGGAAUUCCGCGUGUAGCAGUGAAAUGCGUAGAUAUGCGGAGGAACACCGAUGGCGAAGGCAAUCCCCUGGGCCUGUACUGACGCUCAUGCACGAAAGCGUGGGGAGCAAACAGGAUUAGAUACCCCGGUAGUCCCUGUCUCUUAUAA
rnacentral:rRNA from 1 species